rnacentral:rRNA from 1 species
AACGAACGCUGGCGGCGUGUCUUAAGCAUGCAAGUCGUGCGGCAAGGGUAGCAAUACCCCUAGAGCGGCGGACUGGUGAGUAACGCGUGGGUGAUCUACCUUUGGGAUGGGGAUAGCCACUAGAAAUAGCGGGUAAUACCGAAUACGUUCGUCGGGCCUUGGCCUGACGAGGAAAGGCGCUUCGGCGCCACCCGAAGAUGAGCCCGCGUCCCAUUAGCUAGUUGGUGAGGUAAAGGCCCACCAAGGCGAUGAUGGGUAGGCGGCCUGAGAGGGUGUACGCCCACAUUGGGACUGAGAUACGGCCCAAACUCCUACGGGAGGCAGCAGCUAAGAAUAUUCCGCAAUGGACGAAAGUCUGACGGAGCGACGCCGCGUGGAUGAUGAAGGCCGAAAGGUUGUAAAGUCCUUUUGUUGGGGAAGAAUAACCAUGGGAGGUAAUGCCCGUGGGAUGACAUGAACCGACGAAUAAGCCCCGGCUAACUACGUG